AUGUCUUUCCACAGAAAGCUUCCCACUAAGGAAAGACUUCAUAGAUUUGGCAUGAUUAAUAAUAACGAGUGUUGUUUUUGCAGUAAUAUUGAAAUUGUUGAUCACCUAUUGUUUGAAUGCCCUGCUACUAGAACCAUUUGGGGGGAAAUUCUCAAGUGGAUUGAAAUUGAUCACAAUCCGAAGAGUUGGUCCGAGGAGCUUGGCUCAUAG